GGUGCGAUAGCUUAUAAGGUAAAGCGUGGGGCUUUUAAUCCCAUGAAGUUUAAAUAACUCGUGCUU
rnacentral:tRNA from 1 species